UACGGAGGGUGCGAGCGUUGUCCGGAAUCACUGGGCGUAAAGGGCGCGUAGGCGGCGCGGGUAGUCAUCGGUGAAAGUUCAGGGCUCAACUCUGAAUCGGCCGGUGAUACUCCCGUGCUCGAGCACUGUAGAGGCAGGUGGAAUUCCGGGUGUAGCGGUGGAAUGCGUAGAGAUCCGGAGGAAGACCGGUGGCGAAGGCGGCCUGCUGGGCAGUUACUGACACUGAGGCGCGACAGCGUGGGGAGCAAACAGG
rnacentral:rRNA from 1 species